GACGAACGCUGGCGGCGUGCUUAACACAUGCAAGUCGAACGGAAGGGCCCUGCUUUUGUGGGGUGCUCGAGUGGCGAACGGGUGAGUAACACGUGAGUAACCUGCCCUUGACUUUGGGAUAACUUCAGGAAACUGGGGCUAAUACCGGAUAGGAGCUCCUGCUGCAUGGUGGGGGUUGGAAAGUUUCGGCGGUUGGGGAUGGACUCGCGGCUUAUCAGCUUGUUGGUGGGGUAGUGGCUUACCAAGGCUUUGACGGGUAGCCGGCCUGAGAGGGUGACCGGCCACAUUGGGACUGAGAUACGGCCCAGACUCCUACGGGAGGCAGCAGUGGGGAAUAUUGCACAAUGGGCGGAAGCCUGAUGCAGCAACGCCGCGUGCGGGAUGACGGCCUUCGGGUUGUAAACCGCUUUCGCCUGUGACGAAGCGUGAGUGACGGUAAUGGGUAGAGAAGCACCGGCUAACUACGUG
rnacentral:rRNA from 1 species